rnacentral:rRNA from 1 species
AUUGAACGCUGGCGGCAUACUUUACACAUGCAAGUCGAACGGUAACAGGCCUUCGGGCGCUGACGAGUGGCGAACGGGUGAGUAAUGCAUCGGAACGUGCCUAGUCGUGGGGGAUAACGCAGCGAAAGCUGCGCUAAUACCGCAUACGAUCUAUGGAUGAAAGCGGGGGACCGUAAGGCCUCGCGCGAUUGGAGCGGCCGAUGUCAGAUUAGGUAGUUGGUGGGGUAAAGGCUCACCAAGCCAACGAUCUGUAGCUGGUCUGAGAGGACGACCAGCCACACUGGGACUGAGACACGGCCCAGACUCCUACGGGAGGCAGCAGUGGGGAAUUUUGGACAAUGGGCGCAAGCCUGAUCCAGCAAUGCCGCGUGCAGGAAGAAGGCCUUCGGGUUGUAAACUGCUUUUGUACGGAACGAAACGGUCCUGGUUAAUACCUGGGGCUAAUGACGGUACCGUAAGAAUAAGCACCGGCUAACUACGUGCCAGCCGCCGCCGCAGUAA